rnacentral:rRNA from 1 species
AUUGAACGCUGGCGGCAUGCCUAACACAUGCAAGUCGAACGGGGCAGCAAUGCCUAGUGGCGGACGGGUGAGGAAUACGUAGGAAUCUGCCCUUAAGUGGGGGAUAACCAGGGGAAACCCUGACUAAUACCGCAUGAUCUCUUCGGAGCAAAGAGGGGGACCGCAAGGCCUCUCGCUUCUGGAUGAGCCUACGUCUGAUUAGCUAGUUGGUAGGGUAAAGGCCUACCAAGGCGACGAUCAGUAACUGGUCUGAGAGGAUGAUCAGUCACACCGGAACUGAGACACGGUCCGGACUCCUACGGGAGGCAGCGGUGGGGAAUAUUGGACAAUGGGCGCAAGCCUGAUCCAGCAAUGCCGCGUGUGAAGAAGGCCUUCGGGUUGUAAAGCACUUUAGCCUGGAAAGAAAAAACUUUGGUUAACACCCAAAGUCUUGACGGUACCAGGAGAAUAAGCACCGGCUAACUCUGUGCCAGCCGCCGCUGUAAGAC